rnacentral:lncRNA from 1 species
CCUUCCACCUCACCGAAUCCCGCUCCAUCCUCCCAAAGUCCGGUGCAGGUCCAACUUGUAAUAUUAUGCCACUGCUGAUCGAAUUGUCUGGAAAAACCUACUCGGUAGGUAUUAGUAUUUUAGACAACGCUUUCAUUUUAAUCUAUGUAAUGUUAUAUGUAUAUAUAACUGAGACCCGUGGAAGCUUGGCCCGAUGCAUAAUGGAGUGGGUUGAACCGGCGCCUCUUGUCUCAAGACAAGAAGACGCUCAUCCCAUUUCUCGAAUA